UGUCAGUCAUGGCAUCUUUAACAAGGUUCCCAAUAGUUCUGAUGGUUAUAUGCUUAACAGGUGUCGAUACACAGACUCUGACUGAGUCUGAACCAGCAGUUAAAAAACCAGGAGAAUCACACAAACUGACAUGUACAGCCUCUGGGUUCACAUUCAGUAGCUAUCGUAUGCACUGGGUCAGACAGGCUCCUGGGAAGGGACUGGAGUGGAUCGCUUUUAUUGAGUCCGAUGGUAGUAGCACUUACUACUCCCAGUCCUUUCAGGGCAGAUUCACCAUCUCCAGAGACAACAGCAAGAACCAGGUGUAUUUACAGAUGAACAGCCUGAAAGCUGAAGACACGGCUGUGUACUACUGUGCCAGAGAGUCACUCAACCCCGUCCCAGGAGCUGUUGACUACUGGGAUAAAGGCACUGAAGUCACUGUCACCAGCGUUCCACCAACAUCCCCAACUGUGAGUCUCGUGACUCUGCCCAUCGGGGAGAGCCGUGUAGAUGCUCUAAUGUGUGUCAUUCAGGACUUCCACCCCAAGAGCGUCAGUGUGACAUGGAAAGCUGGGGACAGAACUGUCUCAGGACAGACCUGGGAGUCGGAGAAAGGACAGACAGGACUGUACUCAGCCAGCAGUUUGCUGAAACUGGACAGCAGCGUCUGGGAGAGUGACACUGUGUACACAUGUGAGGUGCAGCACGGUGCUAAUAAAACCACUAAGACCAUUAGUAAAGGUGAGUGAGCUCACAGC